UCUAAGUAGAAACGAUUUGAUCGUGAAACCGCGAACGGCUCAUUACAACAGCCAUAAUCUACUUGAUCUUGACACAUCCUAUACGGAUAACUGCGGUAAUUCUGGAGCUAAUACGUGCAACACGCCUCUGACCUUCGGGAAAGGGUGCAUUUAUUGGACGAAGACCAACGUCGUUCCUUCGGGUUCGGCUAGCGGUGACUCAGAAUAACUUAGCUGAUCGCAUGGCCUUGUGCCGGCGACGUGUCUUUCGAGUGUCUGCCCUAUCAACUUUGUCGGUAGUGUCACGGACUACCGUGGUUGUGACGGGUAACGGAGAAUUAGGGUUCAACUCCGGAGAAGGGGCCUGAGAAAUGGCCACUACGUCUAAGGAUGGCAGCAGGCGCGCAAAUUACCCACUCUCGGAUAGAGGAGGUAGUGACGAGAAAUAACGUGGCUUCCACCUUCGGGUGUGUAGUUGCGGAAUGGGUUGAACACAAACCCUUCAGCGAGUAUCAAGCAGAGGGCAAGUCUGGUGCCAG
rnacentral:rRNA from 1 species